GAAAAGAAAGCAACAGCGAUAGCCUCAGUAACGGCGAGUGAAGCGGCUACAGCUCAAAUUUGAAAUCUGGCCUCCUUUGGUGGUCCGAGUUGUAAUUUGCAGAGGAUGCUUUGGCAUUGGCGGCGGUCUAAGUUCCUUGGAACAGGACAUCGCAGAGGGUGAGAAUCCCGUACGUGGGCGCCUGCCUUUGCCGUGUAAAGCUCCUUCGACGAGUCGAGUUGUUUGGGAAUGCAGCUCUAAAUGGGAGGUAAAUUUCUCCUAAAGCUAAAUACCGGCCAGAGACCGAUAGCGCACAAGUAGAGUGAUCGAAAGAUGAAAAGUACUUUGGAAAGAGAGUCAAAUAGCACGUGAAAUUGUUGAAAGGGAAGCGCUUGCAGCCAGACUUGCCCGCAGUUGCUCACCCAGGCUCUCGCCUGGGGCACUCUUCUGCGGGCAGGCCAGCAUCAGUUUGGGCGGUCGGAUAAAGGCUCCUGUCAUGUACCACCCCUCGGGGUGGCCUUAUAGGGGGGGCGUAAUGCGACCAGCCCGGACUGAGGUCCGCGCAUCUGCUAGGAUGCUGGCGUAAUGGCUGUAAGCGGCCCGUCUUGAAACACGGACCAAGGAGUCUAACAUCUAUGCGAGUGUUUGGGUGUCAAGCCCGGGCGCGCAAUGAAAGUGAACGGAGGUGGGAACCCUUCGGGGUGCACCAUCGACCGAUCCUGAUGUCUUCGGAUGGAUUUGAGUAAGAGCAUAGCUGUUGGGACCCGAAAGAUGGUGAACUAUGCUUGAAUAGGGUGAAGCCAGAGGAAACUCUGGUGGAGGCUCGCAGCGGUUCUGACGUGCAAAUCGAUCGUCAAAUUU
rnacentral:rRNA from 1 species